AGAUUAGCCGGGAUACAUAAGAACUUCUAAUUCUUAUAAGGGGGUUCAACUCCUCCAUAAUCUU
rnacentral:tRNA from 1 species